CCUCGUUUUGUACCAGUCGCGCCCUCCCUUCCAAGCCACCCUGGGGCCGCGGGUGGUGCGCGGCCACAGGGUGUGCCGUUGGCAGAUGCGCACACAUGGCAGGAUGCUCGCUUACACAGAGACGCCCUAGGCCCAGGUGGAUGGCCGUGGUGGCCCCGCCCUGCACCCUUGACCCAGCGGCUGUGGAGGUCGCGGUGGCCUUCCAAGCCCUGACACGUGCAAGGUGGGCCACAAGGCGGGCCGCUGCUUCCUCCUCCCCAGCCUCCUGCAGACACGGGCCAGGCUCCAACCCAGACGGCAGGUGCAGAGGGAGCCACGUGCAGGCCCCCCCCCCCCCAACAAACGACACCGCGUUCAUUCAACAGGCAUUUUCCUGUCUAUUUGGGCAAAAUGACAGCUUCAGAUUUUAAGUGAAAGACAACUUAAAAGAUGAGCAACUAUUGUUUGUCUUUUGGUUUGGGUUUUUUUUGUUGGGGGGGAGCAGGGAGAGAGGAGUGGAAAAUGAACAUCAAAUAGUUCGCAUACAAUAUUUGAACGAGCUAAGUAGAAACAUCGAAAUCAAAUUACUUUUAAGGCACAAAUGAUUCAUCAAAUAAGAGGGACGGUGUUCGGAAUGGUGCGCCUGGGACUUCAGCGACCCCCAAACGGGCGCUGAAGAAGUUCUCACGUGCCUGGUUGACACCUUCCAAACCUAAAGUCUGACCCCUGUUUUAAGUAAAGAGGCACUCCCUAAUUUUCCUAAGAUCACCUAUGCAAAAAAUGUCAAGUGUCACUCAAACCCAACGUAGAAGCAGAGUUAACAGCCUCUCAGGCAUCCAACACUCAGUUUCUACAACUAUCAACCUGCCACCACUUUUGUUCGUCUGUUUGUCCCCCAAGCUGCUUCUGCCUCCCCUGAUUAUUUGAAGCACAUCCAAGAAAAUGUAUGAUUUCACCCAUGAAUCUCUCUUACUCUGGGAUUCUUGGGUAAGAAAUAAAGAUCCUUUCUUAAAACAAAACUGCAGGCAGUACCAUGACCAUACCUUAAAAAGGUGUAACGUGGAUUUCCUAAAGGUAUCUGAACAUCCUAUGUUUCUUUUUUUUUUUUUUUUAAGACUUUAUUUAUUUAUUCUUGAGAGAGACAGAUGCAGACAGAGGGAGAAGCAGGCUCCAUGCAGGGAGCGACUCGAUCCCGGGACUCCAGGGUCACACCCUGGGCCAAAGGCAGGUGCUAAACCGCUGAGCCACCGGGGCUGCCCACCUGUGAGUGUUUCAAGGAGCUUUGUCCUCCUGACUGAGAUUCAGGACUGUCAGAUGAGGGCUCUCCAUGAGAGCAAUAUGGAGGAGAUCAAAGGUCAAGAGUCCAAUCGUGAAUUCCCAAGGGAGGAGACAAGAUCCUGGAAGGUCUGGAAUUUACAGCUGUCUGUUACAUGCCAAAAAGACACCAAAAGCAAAAGGAGAAAGUCUGGAUAAGCAGAAGAAUGUUAUUUUCAGAAAAAUGAUUAUUUUAGACCUGAACUUAAAUAUUCCCAUUGCCCUCGAAAAGAGGCUUAAGUUAAAAUAAUUCUUUUUUUUUUUUUUUUUAAAUAAUUCUUUAUGGCCUCAAAAGUAUUCAUGCACAGAUCAUUCACUGUCAGGCAUGAGUGGCUGGAUAAAGUUAGGAUAUAAAAGAUAGUUACUAAAAAAAAUAAAAAAUAAAAAAAUAAAUAAAUAAAAGAUAGU
rnacentral:lncRNA from 12 species